rnacentral:rRNA from 1 species
CGGUAAUACGUAGGGUGCGAGCGUUAAUCGGAAUUACUGGGCGUAAAGCGUGCGCGAACGGUUUUGUAAGACAGAUGUGAAACUCCCGGGCUUAACCUGGGAACUGCAUUUGUGACUGCAAGGCUAGAGUACGGCAGAGGGGGGUAGAAUUCCACGUGUGACAGUGAAAUGCGUAGAUAUGUGGAGGAAUACCGAUGGCGAAGGCAGCCCCCUGGGUCGAUACUGACGCUCAUGCACGAAAGCGUGGGGAGCAAACAGGAUUAGAUACCCUGGUAGUCCACGCCCUAAACGAUGUCAACUAGGUGUUGGGGGAGGAGACUCUCUUAGUACCGCAGCUAACGCGUGAAGUUGACCGCCUGGGGAGUACGGCCGCAAGGUUGAA